AAUGUGCUUUUGGUUAGGUGCUUUUGGUCAGAUUGUUUUAUUGUGAACUAUCCCCAUUACUACCGGCUCAAGCUACAAAUUUUAAAACAGCCAUGCAUCAUGGUUUUACAGGAGGAUGUUCAUAAUGGAACAAGGUACAGUUAAAUGGUUUAACGCAGACAAAGGUUUUGGUUUUAUUACUCGCGAAGAUGGUAGUGACGUAUUCGUUCACUUCUCAGCUAUCCAAAGCGACGGCUUCAAGACUCUUGAAGAAGGCCAAUCAGUUAGCUUCGAUGUUGAAGAAAGCGACCGCGGACCUCAAGCCGUAAACGUUGAAAAAAACUAAUUUAAAAAAUUACUGAAAAAGCAGGGUGCUUCGGCACGCUGCUUUUUU
rfam:Pediococcus acidilactici DSM 20284 genomic scaffold SCAFFOLD1, whole genome shotgun sequence.